rnacentral:rRNA from 1 species
GAUGAACGCUGGCGGUAUGCUUAACACAUGCAAGUCGAACGGUCACUUCGGUGAUAGUGGCGGACGGGUGAGUAACGCGUGAGAAUCUGUCUUCAGGUCGGGGACAACAGUUAGAAAUGACUGCUAAUACCGGAUGUGCCUUUGGUUGAAAGAUUUAUUGCCUGAAAAAGAGCUCGCGUCAGAUUAGCUAGUAGGUGGUGUAAGAGACUACCUAGGCUCCGAUCUGUAGCUGGUCUGAGAGGACGAUCAGCCACACUGGAACUGAGACACGGUCCAGACUCCUACGGGAGGCAGCAGUGGGGAAUUUUCCGAAAUGGGCGAAAGCCUGACGGAGCAAUACCGCGUGAGGGACGAAGGCUUUUGGGUAGUAAACCUCUUUUCUCAAGGAAGAUGAUGACGGUACUUGAGGAAUAAGCAUCGGCUAACUCUGUG